UGGGGAAUAUUGGACAAUGGGGGCAACCCUGAUCCAGCAAUUCUGUGUGCACGAAGAAGGUUUUCGGAUUGUAAAGUGCUUUCAGCAGGGAAGAAGAAAGUGACGGUACCUGCAGAAGAAGCGACGGCUAAAUACGUGCCAGCAGCCGCGGUAAUACGUAUGUCGCAAGCGUUAUCCGGAAUUAUUGGGCAUAAAGGGCAUCUAGGCGGCCCUGUAAGUCUAGGGUGAAAACCUGCGGCUCAACCGCAGGCCUGCCCCGGAAACUACAAGGCUAGAGUAUCGGAGAGGUGGACGGAACUGCACGAGUAGAGGUGAAAUUCGUAGAUAUGUGCAGGAAUGCCGAUGAUGAAGAUAGUUCACUGGACGGUAACUGACGCUGAAGUGCGAAAGCUAGGGGAGCAAACAGGAUUAGAUACCCUGGUAGUCCACGCUGUAAACGUUGGGCACUAGGUGUGGGGGCCACCCGUGGUUUCUGCGCCGUAGCUAACGCUUUAAGUGCCCCGCCUGGGGAGUACGGCCGCAAGGCUA
rnacentral:rRNA from 1 species